CGAGGAAUAUUGCCCAAUGGGGGAAACCCCGAGGCAGCAACGCCGCGUGAACGAAGACGGCCUUCGGGUUGUAAAGUUCUUUUCUGGGGGACGAUGAUGACGGUACCCCAGGAAUAAGUUCCGGCUAACUACGUGCCAGCAGCCGCGGUAAAACGUAGGGGACAAGCGUUAUCCGGAUUUACUGGGCGUAAAGCGCACGUAGGCGGUGAGGUAAGUUGGCCGUGAAAGCUCCCGGCUUAACUGGGAGAGGUCGGACAAAACUGCCCCACUUGAGGCUGAGAGAGGAGAGCGGAAUUCCCGGUGUAGUGGUGGAAUGCGUAGAUAUCGGGAGGAACACCAGUGGCGAAGGCGGCUCUCUGGCUCAGAACUGACGCUGAGGUUCGAAAGCGUGGGGAGCGAACGG
rnacentral:rRNA from 1 species